UUAAUUACCAGUCUUAACAAUUUUUCCGUAGGUGAACCUGCGGAAGGAUCAUUAUUGUAUAACCGAGGUGCGAGGGCUGUCGCUGACCCGAAAGGUCGUGCACGCCCGAGUGCCCUCACACACAUCCAUCUCACCCCUAUGUGCACCACCGCGUGGGUCCCCCUUUGGCUUGUUCGGAGGGGGGCUUACGCUUUCACACAAACUUUGUAUGCAGUGUAGAAUGUAUUUUUUGUUUUUGCGAUCACGCAAUCAAUACAACUUUCAACAACGGAUCUCUUGGCUCUC
rnacentral:misc_RNA from 1 species